UUCACGCCUCUGACUGCAACGAGACCUUGAGCCCAGGAAGCGCAGCGGGUUACAGUGAAAGGAACCCUGACAGAGCUCUCUCGGGCUGCACAAUUGAGACUCCGAGCGACAGUGCCGUGUUGCAAGAUGCCAUGUCGACAGACUUUCACGCCUCUGACUGCCACGAGACCUUGAGCC